GAUGAACGCUGACAGAAUGCUUAACACAUGCAAGUCUACUUGAACUUCGGUUUGGGUGGCGGACGGGUGAGUAACGCGUAAAGAACUUGCCUCACAGUUAGGGACAACAUUUGGAAACGAUUGCUAAUACCUGAUAUUAUGAUUUUAGGGCAUCCUAGGAUUAUGAAAGCUAUAUGUGCUGUGAGAGAGCUUUGCGUCCCAUUAGCUAGUUGGAGAGGUAACGGCUCACCAAGGCGAUGAUGGGUAGCCGGCCUGAGAGGGUGAACGGCCACAAGGGGACUGAGACACGGCCCUUACUCCUACGGGAGGCAGCAGUGGGGAAUAUUGGACAAUGGACCAAAAGUCUGAUCCAGCAAUUCUGUGUGCACGAUGACGUUUUUCGGAAUGUAAAGUGCUUUCAGUUGGGAAGAAAAAAAUGACGGUACCAACAGAGGAAGUGACGGCUAAAUACGUG
rnacentral:rRNA from 1 species